GAUGAACGCUGGCGGCGUGCCUAAUACAUGCAAGUCGAGCGAACAGACGAGGAGCUUGCUCCUCUGACGUUAGCGGCGGACGGGUGAGUAACACGUGGAUAACCUACCUAUAAGACUGGGAUAACUUCGGGAAACCGGAGCUAAUACCGGAUAAUAUAUUGAACCGCAUGGUUCAAUAGUGAAAGACGGUUUUGCUGUCACUUAUAGAUGGAUCCGCGCCGCAUUAGCUAGUUGGUAAGGUAACGGCUUACCAAGGCAACGAUGCGUAGCCGACCUGAGAGGGUGAUCGGCCACACUGGAACUGAGACACGGUCCAGACUCCUACGGGAGGCAGCAGUAGGGAAUCUUCCGCAAAGGGCGAAAGCCUGACGGAGCAACGCCGCGUGAGUGAUGAAGGUCUUCGGAUCGUAAAACUCUGUUAUUAGGAAAGAACAAAUGUGUAAGUAACUAUGCACGUCUUGACGGUACCUAAUCAGAAAGCCACGGCUAACUACGUG
rnacentral:rRNA from 1 species